CCUACGGGUGACAGCAGUGAGGAAUAUUGGUCAAUGGACGAGAGUCUGAACCAGCCAAGUAGCGUGAAGGAUGACUGCCCUAUGGGUUGUAAACUUCUUUUAUAUGGGAAUAAAAUGUUCCACGUGUGGGAUUUUGUAUGUACCAUAUGAAUAAGGAUCGGCUAACUCCGUGCCAGCAGCCGCGGUAAUACGGGGGAUCCGAGCGUUAUCCGGAUUUAUUGGGUUUAAAGGGAGCGUAGGUGGAUUGUUAAGUCAGUUGUGAAAGUUUGCGGCUCAACCGUAAAAUUGCAGUUGAAACUGGCAGUCUUGAGUACAGUAGAGGUGGGCGGAAUUCGUGGUGUAGCGGUGAAAUGCUUAGAUAUCACGAAGAACUCCGAUUGCGAAGGCAGUUCACUGGACUGCAACUGACACUGAGGCUCGAAAGUGUGGGUAUCAAACAGGAUUAGAUACCCUUGUAGUC
rnacentral:rRNA from 1 species